rnacentral:rRNA from 1 species
GACGAACGCUGGCGGCGUGCUUAACACAUGCAAGUCGAACGGAAAGGCCCUGCUUUUGUGGGGUGCUCGAGUGGCGAACGGGUGAGUAACACGUGAGUAACCUGCCCUUGACUUUGGGAUAACUUCAGGAAACUGGGGCUAAUACCGGAUAGGAGCUCCUGCUGCAUGGUGGGGGUUGGAAAGUUUCGGCGGUUGGGGAUGGACUCGCGGCUUAUCAGCUUGUUGGUGGGGUAGUGGCUUACCAAGGCUUUGACGGGUAGCCGGCCUGAGAGGGUGACCGGCCACAUUGGGACUGAGAUACGGCCCAGACUCCUACGGGAGGCAGCAGUGGGGAAUAUUGCACAAUGGGCGGAAGCCUGAUGCAGCAACGCCGCGUGCGGGAUGACGGCCUUCGGGUUGUAAACCGCUUUCGCCUGUGACGAAGCGUGAGUGACGGUAAUGGGUAAAGAAGCACCGGCUAACUACGUGCCAGCAGCCGCGGUGAUACGUAGGGUGCGAGCGUUGUCCGGAUUUAUUGGGCGUAAAGGGCUCGUAGGUGGUUGAUCGCGUCGGAAGUGUAAUCUUGGGGCUUAACCCUGAGCGUGCUUUCGAUACGGGUUGACUUGAGGAAGGUAGGGGAGAAUGGAAUUCCUGGUGGAGCGGUGGAAUGCGCAGAUAUCAGGAGGAACACCAGUGGCGAAGGCGGUUCUCUGGGCCUUUCCUGACGCUGAGGAGGGAAAGCGUGGGGAGCGAACAGGCUUAGAUACCCUGGUAGUCCACGCUGUAAACGGUGGGUACUAGGUGUGGGGUCCAUUCCACGGGUUCCGUGCCGUAGCUAACGCUUUAAGUACCCCGCCUGGGGAGUACGGCCGCAAGGCUAAAACUCAAAGGAAUUGACGGGGCCCCGCACAAGCGGCGGAGCAUGCGGAUUAAUUCGAUGCAACGCGUAGAACCUUACCUGGGUUUGACAUGGAUCGGGAGUGCUCAGAGAUGGGUGUGCCUCUUUUGGGGUCGGUUCACAGGUGGUGCAUGGCUGUCGUCAGCUCGUGUCGUGAGAUGUUGGGUUAAGUCCCGCAACGAGCGCAACCCUUGUUCACUGUUGCCAGCACGUUAUGGUGGGGACUCAGUGGAGACCGCCGGGGUCAACUCGGAGGAAGGUGGGGAUGACGUCAAGUCAUCAUGCCCCUUAUGUCCAGGGCUUCACGCAUGCUACAAUGGCUGGUACAGAGAGUGGCGAGCCUGUGAGGGUGAGCGAAUCUCGGAAAGCCGGUCUCAGUUCGGAUUGGGGUCUGCAACUCGACCUCAUGAAGUCGGAGUCGCUAGUAAUCGCAGAUCAGCAACGCUGCGGUGAAUACGUUCCCGGG